UACGGGAGGGGCAAGCGUUAAUCGGAAUUACUGGGCGUAAAGCGCGCGUAGGUGGUUUGUUAAGUUGGAUGUGAAAUCCCCGGGCUCAACCUGGGAACUGCAUCCAAAACUGGCAAGCUAGAGUAUGGUAGAGGGUGGUGGAAUUUCCUGUGUAGCGGUGAAAUGCGCAGAUAUCGGGAGGAACACCAGUGGCGAAGGCGGCACUCUGGGCCGGUACUGACGCUGAGGAGCGAAAGCGUGGGGAGCGAACAGG
rnacentral:rRNA from 1 species